rnacentral:rRNA from 1 species
ACCAAGGCGACGAUCCGUAGCUGGUCUGAGAGGAUGAUCAGCCACACUGGAACUGAGACACGGUCCAGACUCCUACGGGAGGCAGCAGUGGGGAAUAUUGGACAAUGGGCGCAAGCCUGAUCCAGCCAUACCGCGUGGGUGAAGAAGGCCUUCGGGUUGUAAAGCCCUUUUGUUGGGAAAGAAAAGCAGUCGAUUAAUACUCGGUUGUUCUGACGGUACCCAAAGAAUAAGCACCGGCUAACUUCGUGCCAGCAGCCGCGGUAAUACGAAGGGUGCAAGCGUUACUCGGAAUUACUGGGCGUAAAGCGUGCGUAGGUGGUUGUUUAAGUCUGUUGUGAAAGCCCUGGGCUCAACCUGGGAAUUGCAGUGGAUACUGGGCGACUAGAGUGUGGUAGAGGGUAGUGGAAUUCCCGGUGUAGCAGUGAAAUGCGUAGAGAUCGGGAGGAACAUCCAUGGCGAAGGCAGCUACCUGGACCAACACUGACACUGAGGCACGAAAGCGUGGGGAGCCAACAGGAUUA